GUACGGCCGCAAGGUUAAAACUCAAAUGAAUUGACGGGGGCCCGCACAAGCGGUGGAGCAUGUGGUUUAAUUCGAUGCAACGCGAAGAACCUUACCUGGUCUUGACAUCCACGGAAGUUUUCAGAGAUGAGAAUGUGCCUUCGGGAACCGUGAGACAGGUGCUGCAUGGCUGUCGUCAGCUCGUGUUGUGAAAUGUUGGGUUAAGUCCCGCAACGAGCGCAACCCUUAUCCUUUGUUGCCAGCGGUCCGGCCGGGAACUCAAAGGAGACUGCCAGUGAUAAACUGGAGGAAGGUGGGGAUGACGUCAAGUCAUCAUGGCCCUUACGACCAGGGCUACACACGUGCUACAAUGGCGCAUACAAAGAGAAGCGACCUCGCGAGAGCAAGCGGACCUCAUAAAGUGCGUCGUAGUCCGGAUUGGAGUCUGCAACUCGACUCCAUGAAGUCGGAAUCGCUAGUAAUCGUGGAUCAGAAUGCCACGGUGAAUACGUUCCCGGGCCUUGUACACACCGCCCGUCACACCAUGGGAGUGGGUUGCAAAAGAAGUAGGUAGCUUAACCUUCGGGAGGGCGCUUACCACUUUGUGAUUCAUGACUGGGGUGAAGUCGUAACAAGGUAACCGUAGGGGAACC
rnacentral:rRNA from 1 species